CUGUCCGGCCAUACCACCCUGAACGUGCCCGAUCUCAUCUGAUCUCGGAAGCUAAGCAGGGUCAGGUCCGGUUAGUACUUGGAUGGGUAAAGGAAGCAGGCUAAGGCAACACAGG
rnacentral:rRNA from 1 species